UAUGCAGCAACGCACGCCCAGGAGCAGGCAGGCACAGGGCACAGCAAGAAGCUACAGCAAUAGCAGAGGGGCACGGGCUUGAUGACACGAGCAGCAGAGCUAACCUGCAACCCACAAUAAAACACCUGCACGCACAUGCAUCAUCCAUCAUGCAUGUCAUAUAUGCACAUGCACUCUAAUGCACCCAGAUACACGCACACACACAUGCACGUGCAAACACACACACACUGUGGCAAAAAGAUGCGGAAUUACAGGUAGACAUUUGUAGAAAAAUACAUUCUGCUGUAAGUCCACACAGUUCAACAGCUCAAAAUAUUGUAAUAUUGGGAACGCAUAUACUGCCUGAGCGCUUUCCCUGUGUAUUUUAGCUGCGUUGUGGUGGGGCUACACACACACACACACACACACACACACACACACACACACACACACACACUCUCUCUCUCUCUCUCUCUCUCUCUCUCUCUCCUUCACCUGCCCUCCACUCUGUAUUUCCUGCUCUGCAUCCAAGUAGCGCCCCACCCCUCCACCACUUUAUUCCAGCUCGCUCCAGACCCUACAGAAACUGGUAAGGCGACAAGAUCAGUUGCUGAAAGGAAAACCUGUGGAGCAUCAUCAGGCCAAUCUGACACUUAUUUCAUUGGGAUUAAAAAGAACCAAGCAGAGGAAAUGAAACAGCAUUGGUGACACCUCUGCUGGAGCACUGCAAUGGAAGGUAACCAUGCCAGGCACUGGCAUCCCUGCCAGCAAACCUGGAAGCCAGCAGGCUAGCUCACUGGCCAGUGCACCAAGGAACAGGCCUAGAGAAGCCCAGAUUUCUGCCCUUCUGGGAGCGGGUGUGGAAAAGCCAGACCCCAGGAUGGAGAGAGCUGCAGGGAGCAGGUGUCGCUGGGCUUUGUGCUGCCCCUGCCACUGCUCGGACGUGUCCUUCUUACAACAGGCAGCUUCAGAGAAGCAGCAGCCCCGUGACUCAGCUCAUUGUCCCCAAUGAAGGGGGAGGAGGAACGAUCGUCCAAAACCAGGCAUGAAAUGAAGAGAGAAAGGAGAUAGUGAUGCAUGCUCUGAGGGACAAGCAGGUAGCUGGCCUCUGUUGGGGUGUGAAAAUGUCAGGCAUGGAGCAGGCGGAGGUCUCCUGCUGACCUCUGCUGCGGGCAUAGCUGUUGUGCCUCCACCUGGCUUACUCAUGUCUGGGUUCCCUACAGCUCUGCCAAUGCACCUUGAUCCUGACCUGCAGCAGCCUCUGCUUUUCUAGGCCUCCGCUACCAGCUCCUGCCCUGGGCUGUGGGGAACUCAAGCUCUGCUGUGGAGGCUGCUAACAAGGGGUCAGCUUCUCUGCUGCCCUAUGCUGGGUCCAGUGUUUUGCACCCGUGCCAAAGCAGCGUGGCCGUGUGUACUAGGAUGCCUGGUUGAGCUCCCCACACAGCUCAUUUUCCUGCACCCUCUGGUAUUUCAGCUGGUGGCCUCCAGACCAUGCUGCCUGCACUCUGCAAUCCUGACCAGCCCUGUGUGCUGCCAUUUCGAUCCCAGCCCUUCAAGGAGCUCUGCUGAUGCUCACAGCUGACCCUGAGUGCCCGCUGCUAAUCUGGUCUGGAGCCCUUGAACCACUCUGCAACCACCCUGCAGCUCAGCUCUGUGUCCCAAGCCCUGGCUUAGCAAAACCUGCCAGCCUGCCUGGGCCAGUACUCUGUGACCGCUGCAUUGGCUCAUGAACCACAGCAUCCCGGUGCCAGCUGGGCCACAGCCUGCACCUUGUCCUACAGCCCCUGCUCGCUUUCUUCAGCCACACGGUAUCUGCAGUGCCUCAAAUCCUGCAAGGACCCAGCCAAAGCUGCUGACGCUGCUCCCCCUCUGCCAGUGGUGCGACGGGCGAGAGGUUGAGCCUUCCCUGGCGUGCGAGGCUUGGCGCGGCCCCAGAGCAGGUGCCGUGUUGAGCUUGGGCCUUUGCUGUGUGACUGGGCUGGUGGGGAGUGAAGCUUCUGCCUGACUCAGCCUACUGCGCUGUGCAAAACUUGUGCGCUUUUGUCCCUGUGGGAGGGAACAGAUAUAUCCCUGGGGCUUAUCAACAGCCUCCCAGGGGCCGGUGGGGGAGGAAACCCGGUGUCUGCGGAAACCCAGAGAUCAAUGAACCAUUUAGCUCCUUCCAUCCACCCCAAGCCAAGCUGCUAAGGCAGGCUGCGGAAGGUGCCCUCCAGAAGCUGGCUGGUGGGGCUAGCUUUGCUAGGAGGGAGAUUUGGGGCAGAAAAGGCUUGGAGACUGAGGCAUGGAGAGGUCUGAUACAGCUGCUGGGUCUUGCCUGCCCUCCUCUCUCCCCUUGAGUUAUGCUGUGGCUUUAGGGAUGUUCUGAGUUUCAGCCUGGCUCUUGCUGUUUGCCUAGUCCUGCACCCCACCCCACCCGACGUGUGCGUGCACACACACACAUACACAGAUGUCCUCAUGCACACCCCCAAUGCACGUACACACACACAUACAUGUGUUCACUCUGACACAGACAGAUGCUCCCGCACGCACCCUGGCACCCCAACACACGUGCCCCCACAGGCCCCCCUCGCACACAGACACACCCACACAUUUCCUGAUGCACACACCAAAGCUCCCAAGAAGCUGCCUUCGCUUUGCUUUGAGGCACCUCGCUUCCCAGAGCUUAGUCAUAAAACAACAUCUUGCAAUCAUCCUGGUAGCCCUGAAUCACAGCUCCCCCUAACCCACGACUGUCUGUCCCCUGGAGCUGAGGAGGACUGUCCGUCCCAGCCCAAUGUCUGGUCAGGGUCAGGCUUCCCCAGUGUUUCUUCACCCCACACCCCUCGCCCCAGUCUGGCAUCAGAGCUGGCAGCUACCUCCCUGCAUCUUCAGGGCUGGGCUCUCCACGGAGCAAGUCAAGCAGCGAGUACCUUCUGCUGAGGCUGCUGCUGCCCUGCAGCCUGCCCUGAUGUGCCCCUGGGGCCGUGAUGCUCCCUGCCCUUCCCCUAAGGUCCCCCGCGCUGUUGGAAGCAGUCUGGAGAAACCCCCCAGUGAAGCAGCUCCAUCUCAGUCCAGUUCAGAGGCAGCUGGGACAAAACUGCUUGCUCCUCCCCAGCCAAGCACCCUAGUGGAAAGGGCUCAUUGAAUGCUGCCAUGCUCCCCUGGCACGUGUGCAAUUGACUGUGCAUGGCACAGUGCACCUCGGCCCCUUCUUUGCAGCCUCUACAGCAUGGCAGAAGCUCCCCACUGAGCAGGGCACAAGCUUUGCCUUGCUGCUGCCCCAGAUCCUCAGAGUAGCACCAUCCAUCCCUGGAGCUCUCCGUGCAGGACCUCUCCCCAGCACCGGGACAGGAAUGAACCAGAAAGGGGAGCUGAGCAGCAGGGAUCCUCCCCCCAUAGAGACAGACCCACAGGGGCUUGGGUGGGGGUUGUCAACUGUUAUCCUUCCACAGCAGCCCCCAGCCAAAAUGUUGGGUGUUGGAUACAUGCAGAGAUAGUCCCUGCUUCCCCAGGACAGGUACAACUUGAUUAGAUGAGGCAGAAUGAGGUCUCACUUGGGCAACUGAGGCACAGAGAGACUAAGGGCCAGGACUAUAAUAGUAUUUAGGCCCCUCAAGGCACAGAAGGUGACUGGGGGGUGUGUGUUAAAAGCACCUUGAAAUCAAUGGGAGUUAAAUCAUCCUUGACUAUCCCCCUUGGCACCCAUCUGCAUCUCCAGGCACCUAAGUACCUUUAAGGACUGGGCUCUGAGUAACAUGCCCAAGGUCACACAGGAAGCCUGUGGCAGGGUAAUGAAUUGAACCCAGGCCUCUCAAGUCCCCAGGUCCUGCCCUGACCAGUGGGCUGUCCUACCCCCCUUGCUGGGUCUGUGGCACAGAAUAGCCAAGACCUGGGCUGAAAGGCCUCAGGUUUUGUUGUAUCUCAGCUAUGGGUCCAGGCAUGCACCUGUCAAAGCUAAUAGGGGUUUUGCUACUGUUGUCAAGGGGAAUGGGCCCAGUAGACUUGUGAUUCAUCCCUUGCCCUUCCUUCCACCCUUUGCCUCAUGAUGUCAAUGGGAAGCAGAGCCUGGCAAACUGUUAAUUUUAUGCGCUGUUUGCUUCAGCAUCCGCACAUGCAGAGUGCUGGGGCCCUCCUCCCAGCACAGCACCCUGGUCAGCCCAAUUUGCAGUGUAUGCUGGCUGCCAGAUGCAGUCUCACUGGUAACACAGCUCAUGUGCAAGGGAGAAGGACAGAGAAGGUGGGGGGAGAAGGAAGAAAGGGCAAUGUGGCUUCAGCCCUAACCAUUGCACUCAAAAUCAGCCCCUUGGGCAACGGAGUGAUGGAAAACAAGGAAAAUGUAGCAGGAGAGAUGGGAAGGGAGAGCAAGAGUCAGUCAUAGAGACAGAGAAACAAUGGUGGGACAGGCCGAGCUGCCCGCAAGAGCUGUUCCUAAACAGCCUGAGCUGCAUCCGUCAAAGGUACCUGAGCUGAAUCCCCAUGGCCUGCCUGCAGCUUGGCUAAGGAUGGAUAGGUAGAGGAGGGCUCUGGUACCAGGACACAGGCCGACACACGUCAUAGGGUCAGGAUGGGAUUCUCCCUUGCUUGCUUCUUUGGCCUUUUGGCUAUGGGCAAGUGAGACUAGGGGUCAUCUGAACCCCAACACCCCUGGGCUUGCGGCCUGCAUGUAGGACGCUUGCCGUGGGUUCGGGAGUAUCUGAAGCCUCAGGCUGAAGAGUCUGGGAGGGAGGAUCUUUGCCGGCGGUAGCGCUGCACAGACCUGAAUGACUGAGCUCUGCUCAGUUGAUGCAAUUCGGAGCUGAUUUGGCCCCAGACAUGAAAUUAAAAAGAAAAUGGGAAGAAAUGUCCAGCCUGGAGCCAGUUGUGCAAGGCGCUGCACAAACACAGAGCAAAGAGAUGGGCUCAGCCCUCAGGAGCUGUAGCCUAAGCAAGUUCCGUCUAUCCAUCCCUCUGCCCUGACUGCAAGAGCCUUCUCUAGCGUCAUUUCCUCAGUCUCUUGCUUCACCUGCUUCUCAGGGACCUGAAUGCUCAAGCUCCCAGCCCCUGUAGGGCGACUAAGCCAACAGGCUGUGUACUAGGCAAAGAAGAGUAGGAAAGGGGAAAAUUGGGAGACACAGGGAAAAUGUGCUAGGGGAAGAAGACUGGAGACACAUAGUCACAGUUGUCUCUACUCUUCCUCCCCUAAUACACAGCCUAUUUUCCCGUUUUCUCCACUCCAUCCUCUGAUUCCUCGUAUGUCCUCUUUAUGCCUGAACAAGUCUCUCCUCCUUGGUGCUGACACAUUGCCAGUACACAGAGAUGCUCAUGAUCCUCUGGAUAAGCUGUAUUUGUUGGGCCAA